rnacentral:rRNA from 1 species
ACACAUGCAAGUCGAACGGUAACAGGAAGCCUUUUGCUGCUUUGCUGACGAGUGGCGGACGGGUGAGUAAUGUCUGGGAAACUGCCUGAUGGAGGGGGAUAACUACUGGAAACGGUAGCUAAUACCGCAUAACGUCGCAAGACCAAAGAGGGGGACCUUAGGGCCUCUUGCCAUCGGAUGUGCCCAGAUGGGAUUAGCUAGUAGGUGGGGUAACGGCUCACCUAGGCGACGAUCCCUAGCUGGUCUGAGAGGAUGACCAGCCACACUGGAACUGAGACACGGUCCAGACUCCUACGGGAGGCAGCAGUGGGGAAUAUUGCACAAUGGGCGCAAGCCUGAUGCAGCCAUGCCGCGUGUAUGAAGAAGGCCUUCGGGUUGUAAAGUACUUUCAGCGGGGAGGAAGGGAGUAAAGUUAAUACCUUUGCUCAUUGACGUUACCCGCAGAAGAAGCACCGGCUAACUCCGUGCCAGCAGCCGCGGUAAUACGGAGGGUGCAAGCGUUAAUCGGAAUUACUGGACGUAAAGCGCACGCAGGCGGUUUGUUAAGUCAGAUGUGAAAUCCCCGGGCUCAACCUGGGAACUGCAUCUGAUACUGGCAAGCUUGAGUCUCGUAGAGGGGGGUAGAAUUCCAGGUGUAGCGGUGAAAUGCGUAGAGAUCUGGAGGAAUACCGGUGGCGAAGGCGGCCCCCUGGACGAAGACUGACGCUCAGGUGCGAAAGCGUGGGGAGCAAACAGGAUUAGAUACCCUGGUAGUCCACGCCGUAAACGAUGUCGACUUGGAGGUUGUGCCCUUGAGGCGUGGCUUCCGGAGCUAACGCGUUAAGUCGACCGCCUGGGGAGUACGGCCGCAAGGUUAAAACUCAAAUGAAUUGACGGGGGCCCGCACAAGCGGUGGAGCAUGUGGUUUAAUUCGAUGCAACGCGAAGAACCUUACCUGGUCUUGACAUCCACGGAAGUUUUCAGAGAUGAGAAUGUGCCUUCGGGAACCGUGAGACAGGUGCUGCAUGGCUGUCGUCAGCUCGUGUUGUGAAAUGUUGGGUUAAGUCCCGCAACGAGCGCAACCCUUAUCCUUUGUUGCCAGCGGUCCGGCCGGGAACUCAAAGGAGACUGCCAGUGAUAAACUGGAGGAAGGUGGGGAUGACGUCAAGUCAUCAUGGCCCUUACGACCAGGGCUACACACGUGCUACAAUGGCGCAUACAAAGAGAAGCGACCUCGCGAGAGCAAGCGGACCUCAUAAAGUGCGUCGUAGUCCGGAUUGGAGUCUGCAACUCGACUCCAUGAAGUCGGAAUCGCUAGUAAUCGUGGAUCAGAAUGCCACGGUGAAUACGUUCCCGGGCCUUGUACACACCGCCCGUCACACCAUGGGAGUGGGUUGCAAAAGAAGUAGGUAGCUUAACCUUAGGGAGGGCGCUUACCACUUUGUGAUUCAUGACUGGGGUGAAG